GAUGAAGAACGUAGUGAAAUGCGAUACGUAAUGUGAAUUGCAGAAUUCAGUGAAUCAUCGAAUCUUUGAACGCACAUUGCGCCCGCCAGUAUUCUGGCGGGCAUGCCUGUCUGAGCGUCAUUUCAACCCUCAUGCCCCUAGGGCGUGGUGUUGGGGAUCGGCCAAAGCCCGCGAGGGACGGCCGGCCCCUAAAUCUAGUGGCGGACCCGUCGUGGCCUCCUCUGCGAAGUAGUGAUAUUCCGCAUCGGAGAGCGAUGAGCCCCUGCCGUUAAACCCCCAACUUUCCAAGGUUGACCUCAGAUCAGGUAGGAAUACCCGCUGAACUUAAGCAUAUCAAUAAGCGGAGGA
rnacentral:misc_RNA from 1 species